rnacentral:rRNA from 1 species
UACAGAGGGGGCAAGCGUUGUUCGGAAUUACUGGGCGUAAAGGGCGCGUAGGCGGCCAACUAAGUCGGACGUGAAAUCCCCGGGCUCAACCCGGGAACUGCGUCCGAUACUGGAUGGCUUGAAUCCGGGAGAGGGAUGUGGAAUUCCAGGUGUAGCGGUGAAAUGCGUAGAUAUCUGGAGGAACGCCGGUGGCGAAAGCGACGCACUGGACCUCUUCUGACGCUGAGGCGCGAAAGCCAGGGGAGCAAACGGG